GUGCCAGCAGCCGCGGUAAUACGUAGGUCCCGAGCGUUGUCCGGAUUUAUUGGGCGUAAAGCGAGCGCAGGCGGUUAGAUAAGUCUGAAGUUAAAGGCUGUGGCUUAACCAUAGUACGCUUUGGAAACUGUUUAACUUGAGUGCAAGAGGGGAGAGUGGAAUUCCAUGUGUAGCGGUGAAAUGCGUAGAUAUAUGGAGGAACACCGGUGGCGAAAGCGGCUCUCUGGCUUGUAACUGACGCUGAGGCUCGAAAGCGUGGGGAGCAAACAGGAUUAAAUACCCCUGGUAGUCC
rnacentral:rRNA from 1 species